GGUAAGUCGGGUGGAGCGAGGGGGGUAGAAGGAAGGGGGCGAGGGGUGGUCGGAAUGACUGGGCGGAAAGGGCACGUAGGCGGGUCCUUAAGUCGGGGGGGAAAUCCCGGAGCUCAACUCCGGAACUGCCUUCGAGACUGGGGAUCUCGAGUCCGGGAGAGGUGAGUGGAACUGCGAGUGUAGAGGUGAAAUUCGUAGAUAUUCGCAAGAACACCAGUGGCGAAGGCGGCUCACUGGCCCGGUACUGACGCUGAGGUGCGAAAGCGUGGGGAGCAAACAGGAUUAGAUACCCCAGUAGUC
rnacentral:rRNA from 1 species